rnacentral:tRNA from 1 species
GCCAGUGUGGCUCAGUGGAUAGAGCGUCGGCCUGUAGACUGAAGGGUCCCGGGCUCGAUUCUGGUCACAGGCA